CCUACGGGUGGCUGCAGUGGGGAAUAUUGCACAAUGGGCGCAAGCCUGAUGCAGCCAUGCCGCGUGUGUGAAGAAGGCCUUCGGGUUGUAAAGCACUUUCAGCGGGGAGGAAGGCGGUGAGGUUAAUAACCCCAUCGAUUGACGUUACCCGCAGAAGAAGCACCGGCUAACUCCGUGCCAGCAGCCGCGGUAAUACGGAGGGUGCAAGCGUUAAUCGGAAUUACUGGGCGUAAAGCGCACGCAGGCGGUCUGUCAAGUCGGAUGUGAAAUCCCCGGGCUCAACCUGGGAACUGCAUUCGAAACUGGCAGGCUAGAGUCUUGUAGAGGGGGGUAGAAUUCCAGGUGUAGCGGUGAAAUGCGUAGAGAUCUGGAGGAAUACCGGUGGCGAAGGCGGCCCCCUGGACAAAGACUGACGCUCAGGUGCGAAAGCGUGGGGAGCAAACAGGAUUAGAUACCCCGGUAGUC
rnacentral:rRNA from 1 species